GUGUUCACUUUGGCAAGCGCAUACAUUAAAAUUGGAACAAUACAGAAAAGUUAGCACAAUCCCUGAGGAAGGAUGACCCACAAAUUCAAGUGUAAUGUAUUUUA